GACGAACGCUGGCGGCGUGCUUAACACAUGCAAGUCGAACGAGACCCUCCCUUCGGGGGGGUGUUCUAGUGGCGAAUGGGUGAGUAACACGUGGGCAACCUGCCCUCAGCUCUGGGAUAACUCCAAGAAAUUGGGGCUAAUACCGGAUAUGACCGCUGACCGCAUGGUCUGGUGGUGGAAAGAUUUAUCGGCUGGGGAUGGGCCCGCGGCCUAUCAGCUUGUUGGUGGGGUAGUGGCCUACCAAGGCGA
rnacentral:rRNA from 1 species